rnacentral:rRNA from 1 species
GAUGAACGCUAGCGGCAGGCCUAACACAUGCAAGUCGAGGGGUAGAAGGAGCUUGCUCCUUUGAGACCGGCGCACGGGUGCGUAACGCGUAUGCAAUCUACCUUGUACAGGGGAAUAGCCCAGAGAAAUUUGGAUUAAUGCCCCAUAGUAUAUAACCUUCGCAUGUUGGUUAUAUUAAAGUUCCAACGGUACAAGAUGAGCAUGCGUCCCAUUAGUUAGUUGGUAAGGUAACGGCUUACCAAGACGAUGAUGGGUAGGGGUCCUGAGAGGGAGAUCCCCCACACUGGUACUGAGACACGGACCAGACUCCUACGGGAGGCAGCAGUGGGGAAUAUUGGUCAAUGGUCGCAAGACUGAACCAGCCAUGCCGCGUGCAGGAAGACGGUCCUAUGGAUUGUAAACUGCUUUUAUACAGGAAGAAACCCUCCCACGUGUGGGAGCUUGACGGUACUGUAGGAAUAAGGAUCGGCUAACUCCGUG